rnacentral:lncRNA from 1 species
AGAAGCCCAGCAGCUUUCUAAAAUCUCUUCAGGGGUGUGCGUAGGCUCGUGUGUCUGCCUGCUUUUGACUGCCCAGUCGAAGCUUCUUCCUGUGCCUUUUAAAAUUUCAUAGACUAUAGGGAAGAAUAUCUCAGGCCUCCCCAAACUUUCUUUUUUGGAGGGAGGAAGGUUGGGGAGAUGGAUGUGCAGAAGGUUGACCAAAUCGGAAAAAAAUAUUUGUCCUUUAGUUUGGUGUUAGAAAAGGGAAUUUUCCAAUCAGCCACACCUCAGUGUUGCGGCAAAAUAAUUCUUGGCUCCCCUGGAAACGCUUGGGCAAGGUAGGGCAGAGCUGCUGCUGCUGCUGCUGCUAUUGCCACCACCCUGGGCUUCCUGCUGACUCUGGGCUACUCCCCUGGGACAAGAGAUUUGCAUUGACGUCUGGGGCAGUCCAAAGAUCCUCAAGAGCCAGUCCUGAGCUGAGACCACUAUGGGAAGGACCUGCCUUUUGGAAGCUGCUGCUACCUGGUGCUUGGAAAGAUGACUCAGUGUAUCAGGAGCCGGGAGAUGGAGCUCUCAGCUGAGUGGCCAGAAUGUUCUGUCAACAUGAAAGCAGCAGAAACAGCUCAUUGGGGCUCGGAGCCGAUCCCUAGCCUGGGGUCAUUUUCAGGGAGGGCUGAUGAGAGAAGAAGGCCACUGCCAGGCGUGAGGAUGGGGGCGAUACCAGAGAAUUCAGAAGAGUGCAGCUUGGCUUGUGAGCUGGUGACGACCUCUUGGUGACUGGCUCAGCUGAGGAUGGUGCGGUGUUCCCAGGACAGUGUCAUACUGCUGGAUGGCUCGCUUGCAUUUUAUUUGGAGCACAUAUACACACACAUGAAGCCUGGCAGUCCUGCUCUCUGUGGUGCUGUCAAGCACAAGUGUGACCAAUGUGACAUGAUCCCAGUCUUGUCAGGGAGUCACCACCAGACUGCUAUUGGAAACCAGAAACAGCAAGAAAAACAGGAUCUAACCCCAUACCUGCCUUCCAGCUCAAACCCUGAGUAG